UAAGACAGAGGGUGCAAGCGUUGUUCGGAAUUACUGGGCGUAAAGGGCGUGUAGGCGGUGAAGUGUGUCUGACGUGAAAGCCCUCGGCUUAACCGGGGAAAUGCAUUGGAAACUACUUCGCUGGAGUGCGAGAGAGGAUGGCGGAAUUCCCAGUGUAGAGGUGAAAUUCGUAGAUACUGGGAGGAACACCGGAGGCGAAGGCGGCCAUCUGGAUCGUAACUGACGCUGAGACGCGAAAGCGUGGGUAGCAAACAGGAUUAGAUACCCUGGUAGUCCACGCCGUAAACGAUGUUCACUAGGUGUUGCGAGUAUUGACCCUUGCAGCGCCGCAGCUAACGCAUUAAGUGAACCGCCUGGGGAGUACGGUCGCAAGACUA
rnacentral:rRNA from 1 species